GGCCAUUCCAGACUCGUGUGUGGCUGCUUGCGCAGCUGCUCCGUGCCAGGCUUGGAGGACCAGGAGAAGGGGUAGUCACUUGCCACAGCUGGAGGCUGGAGCGUGUGGCACCACGGCUCGCCUCGCUGUGGUGGGCGCUGGCGGCAGAGACGGCAGCUCGGCUGGACUGAUUUGCUGAGAUUUGUUUUGUGGCCUAACAUCUGAUCUACCCUGAAGACACUUCCAUGUGCUGAUGAGGAGAAUGCAUACUCUUCAGCUGUUGAGUGGGAUGUUCUGUGUAUAUCUGGUUCCAACAUGGCUCAACAUGGCAGUUGCUGAUCCUGACUUUGCUUAAAAUUUG
rnacentral:lncRNA from 1 species